CUCUAGACUGGCACCUUCGCCAUUGGCCAUAGCUAUAAGAAGUGUGGCUGGCACCAGCCCUGCAUAGGUUGGCAGGGGAGAUCCUUUGAUAUCCCCUGCUGGCCUCGGCCCAUGGCCAUAACUGCCCACUGGGCAUUUGAUGCUGGCAAAUGUAGACCUGUGGAUUCUUGGAUCCUAUUCAGGGUGGCAGUUACCCAGUCCCCAAAUUUAAACAAAUAUAGCUUAACUG